UACGUAGGGUGCAAGCGUUAUCCGGAAUUAUUGGGCGUAAAGAGCUCGUAGGCGGUUUGUCGCGUCUGCUGUGAAAACUGGGGGCUCAACCCCCAGCCUGCAGUGGGUACGGCAGACUAGAGUGCGGUAGGGGAGAUUGGAAUUCCUGGUGUAGCGGUGGAAUGCGCAGAUAUCAGGAGGAACACCGAUGGCGAAGGCAGAUCUCUGGGCCGUAACUGACGCUGAGGAGCGAAAGCAUGGGAGCGAACAGG
rnacentral:rRNA from 1 species